CUUUAUCAUAUCUUAUCAGUCUGUUUUUUAAAAACCUAGCAAUGUCUCUAGAAAGCCAGCUGGAGUCUUGAGUUCUUAGCGGUAGCACUGGGUUGGGAGCAUCAGAAAAUGAGGAAUUACACAGUGGCUCUCUGGGGUCUGAAGGUGUGGAGGGCCCCUAGCUGCUGGAGCUGGUGUUGCUGGUCUUCUCAUUCUCUCUCUCCUUCACAGGAGUAUUUCUUGCAGGCAGAGCUGACAAGUAACGUCUUGAAAACAGGAGUGGUCCACUGCUGUGUGGGGCAGUGCAACAACACCAUCCCUGUGGACACCAUCCUUACCAUGAGGAAACUGCCUAUCACCUAUGUGCGUUCACUAUAGGGUCUGAUUCACUCCACCCAUUUUAUUGCUUGUGAGUUUUGUGGCUGUCUAGGUUCUGGAUGAGAAGGUAAUGGAGUAAUUUGUAUAAUGCUUCCCUAAGAGUUUUUUUAUGUGGAAGCAUGGCAGAUGUGAGGUCUGCCUUUUGGUCAGAGAUGGAGUCAGGUUGAAUGACAGGUACUUCUGGGUGUGCUAAAGCCUUGCAGCAUGGGAGGUGCAGGUUCGCCGAGACACAGAGGGGAGCUUUUACCUGGAGGGCCUGGUUCGGUCUUUCUGUGUUCUCUAUCCCUUUCUUAUUCUCGGUGCUGGAGAUGGAGCGUGCACUCAGCAGUAGCUCCCAUCCCUCGGUCUUUAGCUCAGCCUGGAAGAUCUGUUCCUCUCUAAGGACAGGGACAGAGUUAAGUC
rnacentral:lncRNA from 1 species